rnacentral:lncRNA from 1 species
GGAAAGCUGGAGGGGUUGAAGUUAGGUGUUCCCCUGCCUCCAUAUUGCUUAGGCCCUACUUAAGUCCUUGCCCUUGAAAUCAGGCAGAGCACAGAAAUACUCUGAGUUCAUUUCAUAAGGGUCUUCAACAUGGGAUUUGAUGUGUGGGAAAUGGAAAGUCCAGUGUUCCAUUUUCAGAAUACAGUAUUUAGCUUUAAAUGUAAAAUGACUUGGGAUGAAAGAAAGGCAGCUGGCUGGGAGACUAAAGUGAAAAGAUUGAAGCAGUUAAUACUGGAGUGUAAAAUGUCACAGCCGCUUGACAGGAAGUGAGAAGGAAGGGGCCACCUGACCCACAGAAACAAACUGUGCACAAGCCCAAAGGCACUCAGUCCAAGGAGACUUUUCUGCCUCAAUAGAACAAAGGGACGUGGGUACAACUAAAGGUACAUUUCUUUAAAUAACCCAUUAGGAGAUGGUAAACUCUAGGCAAUGUCUGGAAAGAUUAUGUACCCCAUAGUACUUAGCCAAAGAGGAACUGGGAAAAGGAUCUUGUCCUCUGAGGGAUAAAACUCUGGUUUACCCAACUGUGUUUCCCUGACCACCAGCACCCGAUGUUUCAAGACAGUCAUUAAAGUAAAGCCUCGAUUUUUACUGUUCCUUGUUUCCUAGUCCAUUUUUUGGGCUUGGACAGGUAAGCGUGUUUCUUACAACUGGCAUCCUGGACAUUGACCUCACAACAGUCCCUCUUCAGACUUGAGAACUCUGCAGGAGUUCUUAACCCACAACUAGGCCACUCUCAGGCCCAGGGCUUCAUCUAUGACAGUGUCGGUGUUCCUUCCACAUUGGGCUCCAUGGGCUUCUGUUUCAGAUAAGCUGUGACUCCCUCUUCUUCUCUGUCUCUCCAGCAUUCAGAGGACCUUCUUUCUGUGUGAUAAUUUUCUGAUGGAC